UGGGGUGCCGUGGCCUAACACGUACCUGGAUGUGCAGGGCAGCCAGGGGAGAUGCAGCCUCCCCAGGGAGGGGUCUCUUCUGCACUGGUUACUGCAGGGCUCU